UGCUCGCCGAAGGUCUCAUCUGUCAUUUUCGAUUUUUGUUUACAAAAUUGCACAUGGGACCUUUGGCAUGCAAGCGAGCUCUCACAGUGAUUUUGAAACUAUUUUGAGUUAAAUUAAUAAAAAUGGAUCCUACACAAGACCAAUUCCGGAUGUUCAUACAAGCAGCAUCACGUCGAAGCCAAAGAUCCGAUGGCAGCAGUCACUAUGGUAGUCAACCUACAUCUCCGCAGAUAGAUGAUUCGUGCGAUGUAUUCAAGCUACGGGAGAGUUGCAAAUGCCGAACCUGCACCUUCAAAGAAGGAUAAUUCAGUUUUUAAGCUCUCUAAGAGGAAAAGCGCUGAGUCGCCACGGAGCUGGAAGGAGCGCACUGGAACUUUUCAAAAUGGUACGGAGACUCUACCGAAGCAGCAUGCUUGAAACUAACUGCAGGACAGGUCAACAAUCCUUGCAAAAAACAGCAGCAUUCAUCGUGUUCCGUUUCAUGAGAUGAAAAUGUCAAGCUACGGGAAUGUUGCAAAUGCCCGUACAACGGAUUGGAUUUUGCAACAGAAUCACGCAAAGUACGACAGAUGUAGGUUGACAGAUUUAUCCAACACUCGAGUCAAAAGCAGUAAGUAAUUUUCCCGAUAUACAAAUGGCACAUACGUAUAACGAUUUUCCUUGCUUGGUUGUAGGCAAUCUCUCCUCUACAGUAGCCACGCCACCCAUAUAUACCUUGCAUCCAUCAAAGGAAAUGAUAAAUCACUGAGAAAACUGAUCAGUGAUUCAACGGGUACAGAAGAAAUGAUCGAUCUUGAUUCGAUUUCCAGUUACUGUAAAGAAAAUGUCGUUAAAGCAAGUCAUCAGCAGUAUCGAAAAAGCAUUAUUGAAGAAAGAGAGCAGAUCAGCCCAAGCCUGGCUUCUACAAAAUGCAAAGAACAAAAUAUAAUUUUAUUGGAUCAUCCAUACAUUAAGGUGUUCGAACUCUUAGUGUCACUCUCCAUCAUGUUCAAAGAUGCGAGUACAAGUCUAAUGUCUUCUGCAAGGUCUGUUGAUUGCAAUCUUCUUUAAAGUAUGCAAA